rnacentral:lncRNA from 10 species
CUUGGACUUCCAAUCCCGGAUCCACGUGUACUUAUCCUCAAGCUCAAAGUUUAUGUCCACUGAAGUGGGAGUUCGGAAUAGAAAGCCUUUUAGACGUGUUGGUACUGCCUGAAUUUCAGUUUUAGAAGAUAUCAGCAAAGAUCUGCAACAGAAAACUAUAUUUUCAAACUAAGCUCCUUACUUUGACAGAAGUUGUUGAGUUCGAAAUUAAUUCUUGUCUGUAGAUCAAUGGAUUGCAUAAAUGGCAGAUCAACCUUGACAAGAUGGAACAAAUACAAUCAUUAGUGAA